UACGUAGGGUGCAAGCGUUGUCCGGAAUUAUUGGGCGUAAAGAGCUCGUAGGCGGUCUGUUGCGUCGGCUGUGAAAACCCGGGGCUCAACCCCGGGCCUGCAGCCGAUACGGGCAGACUAGAGUUCGGCAGGGGAGACUGGAAUUCCUGGUGUAGCGGUGAAAUGCGCAGAUAUCAGGAGGAACACCGGUGGCGAAGGCGGGUCUCUGGGCCGAUACUGACGCUGAGACACGAAGGCCAGGGGAGCAAACGGGG
rnacentral:rRNA from 1 species